AUUUUUUUAUUUUUGUUUAUUUUCUUUUUUUUUUUUUUUUUUUUUUUUGAGACAGAGUCUCGCUCUGUCGCCCGGGCUGGAGUGCAGUGGCGCAAUCUCGGCUCACUGCAAGCUCCGCCUCCCGGGUUCACGCCAUUCUCCUGCCUCAGCCUCCGAGUAGCUGGGACUACAGGGGCCCGCCACCGCGCCCGGCUAAUUUUUUGUAUUUUUUAGUAGAGACGGGGUUUCACCGUGGUCUCGAUCUCCUGAUCUCGUGAUCCGCCCGCCUCGGCCUCCCAAAGUGCUGGGAUUACAAGCGUGAGCCACCGCGCCCGGCCUAUUUUUGUUUAUUUUCUUCUCAUUGUCCAAACCCAUCUCAGCUCUUGUUAUCCUGAGCUAUGGUGUGUGGCUUUUCUUGCUGUUUGUCAUUGUCACCUGUCUUGAAACAGAGUUCAUGUCUUCUUAUAGUUCUGCCUCAGCUCAGGAUGGCUCUGCACAGGACUUAGGCAGCAUCCGCCCACACAGUCAGUCCCAUGCAGCCUUGGGCUGGUGCUGGGGACUCUGAGAGGCUCACCGCAGUCCCAGUUGGUGGUCCCUGUGGAUUCCCCAGCCAGAUCAGGCAGAAGUGUUUGUGGUUUGCCCUCCCUCUCUGCCCCCAGCCAGAAUUCCAACCUGGCCAGUUCUAAAAGCUGAACUGUGAGGACUCAGCCCUGCCUGGCACAGCCUUCCCUGGAGCCUGGCUGGCUGCACCCACCAGCCGUCAGCUCUGGCCUAGAAACUUGGGGAUGCUGGAGACAGCAGGUCCUGCUGCCUCCCUGUCCUCCAUUCAGCCUAAAUGUCCACCUCCUUGGGGGCCUUCCUUCAGCUCACCUGCAGACCAUAGAAGUCUCCCUGCUGUGUACCCAUCCCUUGCGCUUUGGCACUUCCCACUCCGCCCCAGGGUGUCCUGCAACAUCGGUAGCAUGACAGAGGGCUUCUUAGAGAGAGGGCGCCCCUGCUACCAGGGUCCACAGGCUCAGUCUGAGCCCGGUUCCUGUUUGUGGUGCCCCUUUCUCAGGCCUGUGGGGAUGUCAGGAGCUUAGGACAGCCCCUGGCUCAAGAGAUGUCACUCCUGCUUUCGGUACUCAGCGCAGGCUGGGUUCAGUGCAGCAAGUAACAGCUAUGGGUUACUGGAUUGGCUGCAACCAUUGGCGACUGAGAGAUCCCUGCAGCCCUCCCAGCCCCCCGAUCUGACUGGAGCCAGGCCCACGUGGGGAAAGGGUUAAACGUGGCAGUGACUUCAUCCCUGCAUUGGAGCAGGCGGAGGCAGAGUAGGAACCUGCUGGAAGCUGUUGUUCUGAACCAGAGAAGGAUGAAAAUAGCUGCCAAAGAUGUUGCCAUAGCAACUGCUUUCCUUCCUGACCUCCUUGGAAGUGAACUCCCUCAUUUUCCAGAGUCGUCAAGGAAUUUCUGUGCCUGUACCCAUGGCUUUGGUUACCAACCCACCCCUGGGGGCCUUGGUUUCUUUCUGUGAAAUGGAAUAUUCAUUCCAGCACUCACUACCUUCUAGGCUGGAGUAAGGCUACAACUUUGCAAAUGCUCUUAGUAAACUGUAGAGCUCCGUGCA